AAGAGAAUGUCUGUCAAUGCUUUCAGCAGAAUUUAGAAACACAACACUUCCUAAACAGAUAUUUUGAGGCUGAGGUUGAACGUUUGAGAGUAUAUCAGUGUGUUUGUUUGUGGUCUUUCUGUUUCUAGGUGGAAGCUGAAUUAGUGAGGAUGACUCCUGCUCCUGUCAUCUCUAAGCUCCUCACACAUCUUUACCUGCACAUGAGGAAAAUCACUCCUGUAGAAUGCAGAUGCACAAUGAGGGACGUCUGCAGAGACUGAGAAAGAGUCUCACCACAUCCUGACAUGAGGAAAAAGACUUUAUUGAAGACUACAAUGAGAAAAACUAUCAGACAGCAGACGGCUGCAUUCAAGUCUGUAGCUGCUGAAUUCAUGGAUGAAUCAUCUGGCACUAGAGAAGAAGACCAUCAAACAUCCACGUCAGCUGAUGGAGGUCCAAGAGUCUCACCCAACAAACAACCUACAGAGUGAAGACCUCGAACCUGAUUGGACGGCCUCCUAUUCAGCCACAUGUGUGAAC
ensembl:lncRNA